CAGUCGCCACGGGAAUACGAAGGGUGCAAGCGUUACUCGGAAUUACUGGGCGUAAAGCGUGCGUAGGUGGUGGUUUAAGUCCGUUGUGAAAGCCCUGGGCUCAACCUGGGAAUUGCAGUGGAUACUGGGUCACUAGAGUGUGGUAGAGGAUAGUGGAAUUUCCGGUGUAGCAGUGAAAUGCGUAGAGAUCGGAAGGAACAUCUGUGGCGAAGGCGACUAUCUGGGCCAACACUGACACUGAGGCACGAAAGCGUGGGGAGCAAACAGGAUUAGAUACCCCAGUAGUCCCUGUCUCUUAUAU
rnacentral:rRNA from 1 species